UACAGAGGUCUCAAGCGUUGUUCGGAUUCAUUGGGCGUAAAGGGUGCGUAGGCGGCGCGGUAAGUCGGGUGUGAAGUCUUGGUAGCUUAACUCCGAAACUGCAUUCGAUACUGCCGUGCUUGAGGACUGGAGAGGAGACUGGAAUUUACGGUGUAGCGGUGAAAUGCUUAGAUAUGACACAGAACACCAAUUGCGAAAGGCAGCUCGCUAAACUGACAUUGACGCUGAGGCACGAAAGCGUGGGGAGCAAACAGG
rnacentral:rRNA from 1 species